rnacentral:rRNA from 1 species
GCAAGUCGAACGGUGAAGCAGAGCUUGCUCUGUGGAUCAGUGGCGAACGGGUGAGUAACACGUGAGCAACCUGCCCCGGACUCUGGGAUAAGCGCUGGAAACGGCGUCUAAUACCGGAUACGAGAUUCCACCGCAUGGUGAGUUUCUGGAAAGAUUUUUUGGUCUGGGAUGGGCUCACGGCCUAUCAGCUUGUUGGUGAGGUAAUGGCUCACCAAGGCGUCGACGGGUAGCCGGCCUGAGAGGGUGACCGGCCACACUGGGACUGAGACACGGCCCAGACUCCUACGGGAGGCAGCAGUGGGGAAUAUUGCACAAUGGGCGGAAGCCUGAUGCAGCAACGCCGCGUGAGGGAUGACGGCCUUCGGGUUGUAAACCUCUUUUAGCAGGGAAGAAGCGAAAGUGACGGUACCUGCAGAAAAAGCGCCGGCUAACUACGUGCCAGCAGCCGCGGUAAUACGUAGGGCGCAAGCGUUAUCCGGAAUUAUUGGGCGUAAAGAGCUCGUAGGCGGUUUGUCGCGUCUGCUGUGAAAUCCCGAGGCUCAACCUCGGGUCUGCAGUGGGUACGGGCAGACUAGAGUGCGGUAGGGGAGAUUGGAAUUCCUGGUGUAGCGGUGGAAUGCGCAGAUAUCAGGAGGAACACCGAUGGCGAAGGCAGAUCUCUGGGCCGUUACUGACGCUGAGGA